GCGCUUCUAGCUCAGUUGGCAGAGCACCUGAAGGGUGUCCAGGGUUCGAACCCCUGGAGGCGCA
rnacentral:tRNA from 1 species